GGGGGGGAAGGAUUUAACUCUCACUGAGUGAAGGAGCUGCUGAUUUAGUCAAGUCGAGAACAGGAUGUGAACCUUUGGUCUAGUGCGUUGACAUUUACAUCUCUGAGUGAGAGUGCUUGUUUUCAGUGGAAGAGCAGCAAGGCUGCUUUUUGAAACAUUUAAAUGGGCUUAUGGUAUUACUGCAAAACACUCUAGACAUGCACAGCAUGAAGAAACAAGUUGAAAGGUACAUUUGGAUGCUCCAGACUCAGAUCAGAUAAACUCACAGGAUUCACGUGGCCUCUGACACCAGAAAGUCAGAAACUGGGUAGCUGAGGAGACUUAAUGUGAGG